GGUGCAGGUGCCUUUUUAGAAGGCUUAAUAGGGAAGACCGGUGCAAUACCGGCGCGGUCCCGCCACUGUAACAGGAUUUCAGCCCCACUGCCGCAUGGCUUGUGAGCGCCGCUUUACGCAGCCUCCCGCCGCGGCCCGCCGUCACUGGUGUGAUAAAAACCGGGAAGACGGGGUUGAUGACGCCUGGAGCCAGGAGAACUGCCUGUGCCGA
rnacentral:ncRNA from 1 species